CUGGGGCUAUAGCUCAGUGGUAGAGUGCCUGCCUGGAACGUAUGAGGCACUGGGUUUGAUCCUCAGCACCAGA
rnacentral:tRNA from 1 species